GUAAGGCAGCACUUCACUUCAAGAAAAAAGAGAAAACUCCACACAAAUCAAAUAAGUUGUUUCUCUGAAUCACUUUGAACAACAUUUUAUAACAACAACAACAGAUUUUCAGGGUUUCUGACGAUCAAAAGAAACAGGCAACACAUCAUCAAAACCUUAAAACAUGACUCAGAGAAACAUUGCAACACCCUUUCAAAUGAUGCUUGCCCAAACUGCAUUGACCAGCUCUUUUCCAAUUAGUAUUUUGUUAAUUGGACUGGAGGCAAUAAUUGAAAAUGAAUUUAUAUGCCCAUGCAGUGCAAAUGGGAAAGACAUAUUUAUUGUAAUUUUAGUCCUCAUAACACCUCCUUUUUUUACAUGUGCACUGAUGUUUUUCUACAACACAUUCUUUAAACCUGAAGAUGGUAAUACUAGUAGCCAAGAAACAAAAAUUAAGAAAAAAUAUGUAAGGGUUAUAAAUUACUCAAUUCCUAUUUUUGUUUGGAUUAUCAUCUUAUUACUUGAUGGUGAAUAUUGGGCUUGCUUUCGUACAAAUUGGGUAGGACUUUAUUUUUUUGAUCAAAAGCUAACACGAAAGUGGUGUCAACCCAGUGAAACAAAAAAAAAUGAGGACACGCUACGGGCAACAUAUCAAAACCAUCUGUUCUGGUCUCAGGUAAAAAUCAAAUACAGUAUAUGCAUAGUACCCCAUUUUGAAGUUGUCAUUGGUUUCAUCAGUUCUCUUUAUUUUUUUAUUGUUGUUUUUUCCAGGUGUCUGGCUAUAUACUGAUUAUAUUGGUCUCUUGGAUAAUUUUUGUGGUUGUUUUAUGCUAUAAGAGUAAAAAGAGAAAUCCUCAUGGCUCAAAGAGCCACUAAAAUGACCACAAAAAAAGUUCAUAUAUUUAGUGUUGUGGUCUACUACAAUACUGUUGUUUGAAUAAACAUAAAAAAAACGCAUUAUUUUGCUCAUAAUAUAGAUAUUUGCAACAUCUCUCUCUAAAACGCUUGAUAUCAUCGCGUGUCUCUUCAAAGCCCCACCCCCACAAACACCAAGUAUACUCUGAUUGGUCAGGGGUUCUAAACGAUUGUGAUUGGUCAAUCCUUGUAGCGUUUAAAAUGUUCAUUACCAUAAUCGGGUUUCGGCUUUUCAUGCGUGUACACGAAAAUAACUGUAGAACUACAUCUCAGGCGUUUACUGUAGUACAUAAAAAAAUGCCUUCGGUUAAAGGGAAUAUCUUCCCUUAAAUUGGACUGUGAGCUUUGUAACUCUGCACAUCCCUUUUAUGCUCAAAACUGCUACAUUAUACUAUAACUACAGUUAAAAAGUUGAAAUCCAUGAAAGGGGCUCUUUAAUUUCUAAAAAUGCUUAAGUCAGCAUUUUUUUGUACGUUUUUUUUUUUUUUUUGCAAUAAUCUCCAAUGUGAUCUGUGAGUAUUAUCCCAAUUGCUACAGUGCUAGUUUAUUUUAUGAGACAUUUUUGACAAUGUAAGUAUGAGUUCCAAGAAAGAACAUAUACUAGAGUUAUAAAUAAAAUAGUGAAAGUAAUGUAAUUUUAAAAGUACAAUACCAUUAAAAACCAUGACUAUUGAUUGGAUGGAUUGGGGUAUGUACCCCAUGAUAAGAGAUGCUUAGGAGGGCUUCAGCUGCAAAGAGAUGAUAACAACUGGUCUAGUAUUUCUAGUAUAUAUCCAGUCAGCAAGAAUGCAGGAGUAUUUGGUUAAACCGAAACACUAUAAUAACAACACUAAAAAUAAUAAUUUUUGACUCGGGAUUAUAGACUAGCACAACGAUUAAAGAUUUUGUUGGUACGGUUAUAGUCUGAUGAAUAAUCAUGGUUGUACGUUUAUUGCGAUUAUCAUGGAUUCGUUAAUUUUACAACAUUAAUGUAUAAAAUCACAUGAUCACACUUUUGAACAAUUGUUACAUUUAUUUGUAUUUUCAGUUUGUGUACUUUUUCUAUAAUUCUUGUUUAAAAAAAUGAAAAAAUAACCUAACUGGCUUUUGACUUAAACAGUUGUCUUUUGAACCCUGUAUUCAUUUUAAUGAUUUGUUUUAAUAAAUGUAAUUUUACAUGUGGACUGAGAAAAUAUGUCUGUUAUUCUGGUUUGUUUAAAGUUUUAGUAAAAAUAAUAAGAACCUCUCAAAACGAAUAACAACACAGGGGGCCCAAUCUUGCACCCAGCGCAAUUGACUUUGUCAGUGACGCAUGUAUCAUUUUGUAUUUUGCACCGGCGCACAGCGGGUUUUUCCCUCCACAGACGCACGUCGGCAAACUAGGGAAUGAACUUGCAAAAAAGGAGGUGUGUUCCGGCACAAACCAUCUCUUAUGCUAUUUGCAGUUUCAAAAAACAAUUGCGCUACUAACAAAAAAAAACUAGUCUAAAGUCAGUGGCGCGUUGCGCGUGGUUCAUUAUGCUAUUUUAAGGACGCAUGCUUUGACCAUAAUGUAUAGCGUGCACAACACGCACACAGAUGAAACAGUUAUUUUUGCAAAUCAUAAAUUGUUACAAUAAAAAAAUAUUAAUACAUGAGAUAAGGGAAAUCAUUGUGGUGAGCAUUGUGGUGAUAGUUUUUAUUUAUUUUGUGUGGCAGCGUUAAACAAUCAUGCAAAUAACGAUUAAAAUAUUUUCAUAAGUUUGUUGUGUGCAGUGCCGGCACCAGCCGAGCGCUGAUGAGGGGGCGUCUUAAAUACCAGAGGGGGCGAUCACACAAAAUGCAUUUAAUUCCCCAAGCUAGAAAAUACAUAUGGUACGUCCCUUAAGCUUUAACGUGUUAUAAACAAACAUCUCUGUAAUACAACCACAAAAACUACAGCUAUAGUGAGCAACGUACAUGAUCUAAACACUUUUACUAUAUACAACAACAAAAAAGCAUACCUAACGUUACUUAACAGCACAACACUGCUCAUUUGAAGUUCAGACCCAGAGCUAGUUUCUUUUUAAUCCAUUUCGACUGUCCAUUGUGAAAUUAGUUAAUGCAAUAUAAUACCCUGAAAUUAUGAAAUGUUCGUACUUCGUGUUUGCUUUCCAUAGUGCAAAUAAUUUUUACGUAAUGGUGGGGGACAGUGUUUGCAAAUGGUUUCUAGCGCAAAAACGGUCCAAACGUAACAUUUUAUCAAAAUUUUGGUUCAAUUUGAUCAUUUAACGUAGUUAUUUUAACUGCCACAAGUAAUGCACCAUAAGCUAGAGAUUAAACACCAGCAGAUAGAGAACUACAAUAGCAAAAUGACAAUAACUUGUUUACACAUUUAGCUAUGCUUUAGGAUAGGCUAAUUCAAAUACCUAUUCGUUAACUAUAAAUUCAAUGUCUGUUUUUUAUCUAUUAAUAUUAAUAAUAAUACACGUAUUUUACUUCUGAUAAACAGGUGUGUGUGAGAGAGAGAUCGUAUGCUUACCUUUACAGUGGCGGUUCUACACGGAGGCCAAGGGUGGCCCGUGCCUCUGUAGACAAGUGCCUGGCCACCCCUGUGGCCACCCCGUGCUGACCAAAUAAAAAAGUAUACAUUUAUUUUGAUUUUACACGCGAGCGCCAAAAGCGGAACUAAUCCGACGCAUAACGUUAAACGGGCAAAUUAGAGCGGCGCACCCAACCACUGUAGCUGGCUGCGGGUGCUGGGUGCUGCUCAGCGAGUGUCUCAAUUCGUUCCCAAUUUUCCGAUGUUGAGAAUGUGUAUGCAGGUUUGGGCACUAGUAAGGACUCUAGCUCACUUGACAUUGGGACACUGUUCACUUGUUCUCCUGUGACGUGGCUGCUUAAACGCGGUGAUCAUUCACAGCUGUUACUCAUCAACAACCGGCAAAACCAACAUCUCGCUAACUUUUUAAAGGGGCCAUGAAUUGGUCGAUUUUAUUGCUUUAUGACGUUGAUUGAUGUCUACUUAUGCAUUUCGCGUUGUUUUUACAUUCAAAAACAUCAAAAGCAAUAAGUAAUACGUUAUUUUGUAACAUGGAUUAGUGGCUGUCUUGAGAAAUGGUUCGUUUGAAGGGGCGGGCCGCAUUGAAGACCUGAACGUAAACACCCACUGCUAUGAUUGGACAGCUUCAUUCCCCGUCAUUACAUGUAGGGAAAUGUUUUAAAAACAUUAAUGUGAUAAAAAUAGCAGCCGAACACAAAUAUGUUUGAGACACAAAAGAUUCUGGGUGCUAAACAUGAUACACAUAAAUGACAAUACGUAUAUUAAAGUAGAAACAAAACUCGACGUGACUAAAUUACCGUAUAAAACACAGUAAGCGUGCAUCCGAAUCUAAACUGCGGCUAAUAAAUCCUUAUCAAUAACUUUGUAUAUUUCUAUUGUGCUUGUGAGGUUGCUUUUACAUUCACGUAAUGUUAAAUACCACAGUUAUAUGAUAAAAAAUAAGCUUUGUUGAGUGUUUGACCUUUCAAACGGAACUUGCCUAAAUUACCGUAUACAACACAGUAAACGGGCAUCAGAAUCUAAACUGCGGUUGAUAAAUCCUUCCUUAUAACUAACUUUGUAUAUUUCUACCUUUAAAUUACAGUCGUAUUGUUAAGUGUUGUACCUUUAUUAAUCGUUUAAUGUUUUUAGUAAAUUAAAACAGUCAACAAACGUAUUUAGACACGGAUGUUACAACAGGACACAUCAAUCUCUUUUAACAAAGCAAUAGUGAAACGCAGUAACUUAAAUAAAGUAAAAUAUCUUACUGUGAAUUAUACUGCUGUGUCAUUGUUGUCAGAUCCAAUAUAAGUGGUGCUUCUGACUGAGUCUCUCUGCAAAUCCAGCAUCGACUUCUUUACAAAUGAAUCCAUGUCCACAACGUUAACAAACGCUCCCCACACGAGCUGGAACUUCUUCAAAAGCAAACUUUAUCCAAGCAUAUUGCUAAUGUUAAGUUCCAAGCCUCCGAAUUGAAGUAUUUAGCUUCUGUGUUGUUCCCAUGGUUGUUCCCACGCGGUUCUUUCACAACCGAAAAAGCGUUUCCAUGGUAUCAUAACAGAUCACCGCGUCAAAAUAAAAGUCUCUCAGAAAAAAUGUAUUUAAAAAGUCAUUUUGGUUAAAUUUGUCAAUCUUUAAAGACAUGUUUACUUACUGAGACACACGUGUCACGCGAAGCUGUGGGCGGGGCUACAAAAGUAGACUUGUCCUUUUGGUUAUGGGGAGGUGUUUCAAUUCUACUUUGACGUCAUAGAUUUCCGAAUUUUAGACUGGAGUUUUUAGCUGGCUUGGUGCCAAAGACGGUUAUAUUUCAGUAGCACGGACGUUUUCAGUUCUGAAACUUGCAGGAUGUUCAUUUAAGUAUGAUGACCUCUUAUAUAACAAAUUAUCAAGUUAAAAUUGAGUUUUUGAUUCACCGCUCCUUUAAAGUUUACACAUUGUAAAAAGCGCUGUAAUUAUGCUCUUACAUAUACGUGCAUAAAAUUGAAGGAAUAUAAUUAAAUGUGUCAUAUAAAAAUGUUUACAAUUUAAAAUAAAUAUUAUUUUAAAUACUGAUUAGAUUGUGGUCCCUAACUGUCUAGCAAUGUGUGUUUAUAUGUAAACUAAAACAAACGUUUGUCUUUAUAAAAGUUUGCAUUUCAUAAAGUUUAUUGAGUAGGCUCGCAUGAUUUUCGGUUGGGGGGCUUUAGAAAAGAGCCAAGCUCCCCUUUUGCACCUGCACUCACUCUUGUAUUAAAUAAAGAUUUAUAUGAUUGUAAAGUAAGAUAAAGUUUAUGGGGCAGUUUCCCGGAAAGGGAUUAGACUAGUCCUAGUCUAAAAUAAAUGUAAGAGCUGUCCAAACUGAAAACAACUUGCAAUGCCAUAUUUUAAAAUACAUCAAUGCCCUUUGUUUUGCUUCAAAAGGCACACAAGUAAUGUAUUUAGUAAGGCAUGUUUGUUACACUGGCCCCUCCUUGGCCCCCCUAGUGAAAUUUGUCUAGAACCGCCACUGUAUUUUUAACGUUAAAUGCAGAACAAUAAUAGGUUGGUUGUACUUUAACUUGCAAGGAUGCUGAAGAACAUAAACAUCUGAACUUUUCAAAACUAUGUACAGUCUGGCUGAAGUUCAUGGUGCCAGAAUUGACAUGAGAGCCGAACAUUUGGUUCUGUGCACCUGAAAUGCUCCGAUAAUAAUCCAUGCCACGGCAUUAAUUGAUGUGUGAUAAUCCGGAGUCCGGUUUGCAGAAUUUGCAGUCCUAUUUUACAUAUGUCUAUUGCUACAGGGCAGGCCCGGGUCACUCUCCCACUCCUUUCUGUAACUUUUGAUAUGCUUUCGCACUUCGACAUCUUGAUUUCCCGCUGAGACGCGGGCUCAUUGUCGACGUGCGUCAAGCCGUCAACACAAAAGGCUUGUUCAACUCCAAGCGGCGCUGCAAGAAACGACAGCCGGAUGACGUCAAAGUACCGCGAGAACGAUUCGAGAAAUCAUGCAAAGUGUAAUUUCGUCUCGCUCUCGCAGCGCUUUGACGUCAUCGGCUCACAGUUCUAGUGGCGCCGCUUGAAGUGUAACAAUGGAGUGGGCGUGUGUUUAUUAAUGUCACGGUAGAAUACAUGCACACUUGAUUUUUUGGUUUUGUUAAAUAAUUAGACUAUAAAAUUCACUUUAGGAAGACAAUACACAAGGCAAAUGUGAUUUUUAAAUAAAAUAUUAUCAUUAAAAUAAAAUCCCAUUCAACAUUAAUGGUGGUCUGAGGGGGCGAGAUAGUGCCGGUGAGGGGGUCAUUGUAGUGCUUGGCGCAGCUGAUGAGACAAUUGCGGCUAUUUCCUCUCACGCCUGUUUAACCGACGCUGAUUUGACCGGGUUUCUCCCAUCCCCAUACAAAACAACUUCUCUGUCUUUGACUGCUCUUACAAGAACGUGGGUCUCCUCGGCUGUGAACCGCUCCUGGCGUGCGCCUGGUAAAUCUGUCAUAAUAAUAGCAACCCGCCAUGGAACUUGCGCCCUUGCGUUUAAAGGGAAUGUUGGAUAGCGUUCUGAUUGGUUUAUUUGACGUUACGCCCAAACCACACCUAUGAAUAAUGAACCUACUUCAGACCAACCCCUUAUUGAUUUGCGCCCGGCGCAAGACUUAUUUCUCCCGCCGGGAAAAUAGCAACAGCGCCCAAGAUCCGCCCACAAAGUCACUUGCGUUUCAGAUCGUUAAAAUAGGGCCCAGGGUCAUCUUGGACCAGGGUCCUGUUGCACAAAAGUAGAAUUAAGAUAUCCAGGAUAAAUGACUGAGCUGAGUUCAAUGAAGCCAAAACAAGUGCGUCCAGGCUCAAUUGGUUGCACAAAGACCAAGCCAGGAUGAUCAGACACGGAUUCAUCA